rnacentral:rRNA from 1 species
GUAGGGAAUAUUGCACAAUGGGGGAAACCCUGAUGCAGCGACGCCGCGUGAGUGAUGAAGGCCUUCGGGUCGUAAAGCUCUGUCGUAUGGGACUAACACAAUGAAGGUACCAUGCAAGAAAGGAUCGGCUAACUUCGUGCCAGCAGCCGCGGUAAGACGAGGGAUCCUAGCGUUGUUCGGAAUCAUUGGGCGUAAAGCGGGUGUAGGCGGAUUGAUAAGUCAGGUGUGAAAUCCCAGGGCUCAACCCUGGAAGUGCACUUGAUACUGUAAAUCUUGAGUGUGGUAGAGGUUACUGGAAUUGUUGGUGUAGUGGUGAAAUACGUAGAUAUCAACAGGAAUACCGGAGGCGAAGGCGAGUAACUGGGCCAACACUGACGCUGAGACCCGAAAGCGUGGGGAUCAAACAGGAUUAGAAACCCCUGUAGUCC